rnacentral:rRNA from 1 species
AUUGAACGCUGGCGGCAGGCCUAACACAUGCAAGUCGAACGAGUUGCGGACGGGUGAGUAAUGUCUGAGAAACUGCCCGAUGGAUGGGGAUAACUACUGGAAUCGGUAGCUAAUACCGCAUACCAUCGGCUUUGCCCAGAUGGGAUUAGCUAGUAGGUGGGGUAACGGCUCACCUGGGCGACGAUCCCUAGCUGGUCUGAGAGGAUGACCAGCCACACUGGAACGGAGACACGGUCCAGACUCCUACGGGAGGCAGCAGUGGGGAAUAUGGCACAAUGGGCGCAAGCCUGAGGCAGCCAUGCCGCGUGUAUGAAGAAGGCCUGAGGGUUGUAAAGUACGUGCAGCGGGGAGGCGUUACCCGCAGAAGAAGCACCGGCUAACACCGUGCCAGCAGCCGCGGUAAUUC